GUGGUCUGAAUAAGUUUGAACUAGACCAAACGAGUCUGAGCAGACUGUGUGAUAGUGGUUUGUCGAUGUGUUCUGAACUGAAAACCUGCUAAGAAACUUUGAACAAACGUGGCCAAAAUUGGAUGAAAAUUACAAUUUUUCGACCAUUACGGAUUUUACCUGGUCUGAAGUUGGAGUGUAUUAUUUGACCAUUUUUUGGACAGGUGCGGGAGCUGCCGGCCAUUUGCCCUAGCAGGCGGAGAGAGGUCGUGGAGUGUCAGCCUAUGGUAUCUGAGGUCCAGGAGAGAUGACCUGCGCUGUUUUCCUCUGAGGAGGUAAGACUGUCCUAAUUUAUUUAUAAUUUAAUUAUUAUUCAAAUUGGGCAUGAUUUAUACUUAUAUUGAAGCAGUACGGUAUUUGCUGGGGCAAUCUCAUAAUUUUGACUUAGCAUGUAUUUUUUUUCUUUUUGUGCUAGAAAUAGGACUUCUAUAGUCUGAGAUUGUUAGGGAAAGAAUACUAAGGCAGGUCACAGAAUCUGAUUGGUCACAGAUUUUGGUGCAACUUAGAACAUAAUAUGUAUUUUCAUAUUGAUACUGGGUUUUGUGGGGGGUGUUUCUAUUCCUGUGCAAAAGACGUAUUCAUGAGAGAUUUUUGAAGUAGGUUUUGCUGUUGAUAACACAGUCAGGCAUAU